AUUCCAGCUCCAAUAGCGUAUAUUAAAGUUGUUGCGGUUAAAAAGCUCGUAGUUGGAUUUCUGUUCUCGAGGAUCGGUCCGCCUCACGGUGAGCACUGGUUUUUCUUGGGGACAUCCUCUCGAAGGCGGGUGGUGCACUUAAUUGUGUGCUGCUUGGAUUCGGGACCUUUACUUUGAAAAAAUUAGAGUGUUCAAAGCAGGCGUCGGCUUGAAUACAUUAGCAUGGAAUAAUGGAAUAGGACUUUGGUUCUAUUUUGUUGGUUUCUAGGACCGAAGUAAUGAUUAAUAGGGACAGUUGGGGGCAUUAGUAUUUAAUUGUCAGAGGUGAAAUUCUUGGAUUUAUGAAAGACUAACUACUGCGAAAGCAUUUGCCAAGGAUGUUUUCAUUA
rnacentral:rRNA from 1 species